AGAGUUUGAUCCUGGCUCAGGACGAACGCUGGCGGCGUGCUUAACACAUGCAAGUCGAACGGAGCGCCUAUGAAGGAGAUUUCGGUCAACGGAAUAGGUUGCUUAGUGGCGGACGGGUGAGUAACGCGUGAGGAACCUGCCUUUCAGAGGGGGACAACAGUUGGAAACGACUGCUAAUACCGCAUAACACAUAGGUGCCGCAUGGCAUUUAUGUCAAAGAUUUAUCGCUGAAAGAUGGCCUCGCGUCUGAUUAGCUAGUUGGUGAGGUAACGGCUCACCAAGGCGACGAUCAGUAGCCGGACUGAGAGGUUGGCCGGCCACAUUGGGACUGAGAUACGGCCCAGACUCCUACGGGAGGCAGCAGUGGGGAAUAUUGGGCAAUGGGCGCAAGCCUGACCCAGCAACGCCGCGUGAAGGAAGAAGGCUUUCGGGUUGUAAACUUCUUUUGACAGGGAAGAGUAGAAGACGGUACCUGUCGAAUAAGCCACGGCUAACUACGUG
rnacentral:rRNA from 1 species